rnacentral:SRP_RNA from 1 species
GGAGCUGCCCUUUAUAAGUGGCGUUGACAUCCGGGUCUUACGCAACAGGAACUUGUGAACCGUGUCAGGUCAGGAAUGAAGCAGCACUAAGCAAAACUUCUUGUGUGUCGUAAGGGCGCCUGGGUUGAGUUAACUGUAGAGGUAACGUCCAUUGAGAUUGGUUCGAAGCGGGGCGCACGG